GCCUGCAACCCGCGCCCGCCGGCGCCCCGGCCCCGGCCCCGGCCCCGGCUGCGGGGGCAGUCGCGCGCGUGAGCGGUGGGGCAGGAGGCUCCGCGGCGAGGAGCGAUGACGGAGUAUAAGCUGGUGGUCGUGGGCGCCGGGGGCGUGGGCAAGAGCGCGCUGACCAUCCAGCUAAUCCAGAACCACUUUGUGGACGAAUAUGACCCCACCAUAGAGGACUCAUACCGGAAGCAGGUGGUCAUCGAUGGGGAGACGUGCCUGCUGGACAUUCUGGACACGGCUGGCCAGGAAGAGUACAGUGCCAUGCGGGACCAGUACAUGCGCACGGGAGAGGGCUUCCUUUGCGUGUUCGCCAUCAACAACACCAAAUCCUUCGAGGACGUCCACCAGUACAGGGAGCAGAUCAAGAGGGUGAAGGACUCAGACGACGUGCCCAUGGUGCUGGUGGGGAACAAAUGUGACUUGGCGGCACGCACGGUGGAGUCCCGGCAGGCCCAGGAACUGGCCCGCAGCUACGGCAUCCCCUACAUUGAGACCCGGCAAGACCCGGCAGGGCGUGGAGGACGCCUUCUACACGCUGGUGCGCGAGAUCAGGCAGCAUAAGCUAAGCAAGCUGAACCCGCCUGAGGAGGGCGGCCGCGGCUGCCUGAGCUGCAAGUGCGUGCUGUCCUGAGCAGUGCAGUCGCAGGCUAUGGAGCUCCUGGACAUAGGGAGCAAGUGCGGACGGAAGGAAGGCCUUGCUGGAGCCCUGCCUGCCCGCCUGGGGACAGUGAACAGCGGUGCCCUAGUGGUCACAUCCCACGGACUCUCAAACUGUUCCUGAGUCCCUAGCCCCCUGCCACCGAUGGCUCCUGGCCCCGUGAGGGCCCCGUCGGUGGGUUGAAGUCGCAGUAAAUUAUUUGUCGGUCCCGAAAAAAAAAAAAAA